CACGUAGGGCGCAAGCGUUGUCCGGAAUUAUUGGGCGUAAAGAGCUCGUAGGCGGUCUGUUGCGUCCGCUGUGAAAACCCGGGGCUUAACCCUGGGCUGGCAGUGGAUACGGACAGACUAGAGGUAGGUAGGGGAGAAUGGAAUUCCCGGUGUAGCGGUGAAAUGCGCAGAUAUCGGGAGGAACACCGGUGGCGAAGGCGGUUCUCUGGGCCGGUACUGACGCUGAGGAGCGAGAGCGUGGGGAGCGAACCGG
rnacentral:rRNA from 1 species